UUGAAUGGUUUUGCUUUAAAGAAAUCUAUUGCUGAAUUUGAAACCUCCAUUGUGAGAUUUGGUUUAAUAAGCUCAAAGAUAAAAAUGUGUAUUUCAUUCUGAAAUUAGGUUAACUAACCAGACAUGGCUCAAGAUGGGAAGUGCUUUAAAAUGCACAUUUAAUUAUCUAUUCAGCUUUUGUUUUAAAAGAGUUUUCUUUGGGAAAUAUUGAGACACUUAAUUGAAAGCUCCUUUUUAUGACACUCAUCUGUAGGGGUAAAAUGUACAGCGGUACGUUUUCUAUGUGUCCAGAAAGGGAGCUCACUAAAAUAGUAUUUCAAUUAGCAAAUGUGUAUAUAUGUGACUGAAAAUUAUACAGACUGGGUCACAUACCACACGUAAAGCCACAGGUAAUGGCUCUCAAGACAUUGAAAGAGUUAAGGGGGGGAAGCUGAGCUGUCAAUCCCACAUGAAUGGGUCCAUACAAAUUAAAAUUCCAAGGAUCCAAACAGGAGUGGAAGGAUUCUCUCUGGUGGGAUUUCGCUUUAUUAUUUAUUAAAUUUACAUGCUGCCCUUCUCACUAUCAAAUGACUAUGUCAUUUAUCCUGUUUGAGUGUUCUCUACUGAAAGCCAGGUAAGAAAAGAUCCAACUCUGAUUUCGACUGGAAAUUUUGCAGCAUGCUAGGGACCACUGGAGCUAAAUGUUGCAUGGGUUUUUAUAAGCUACAAUUUAAGCUAUCGAUGUCUCUGUGCGUGCAUGUCGCUGAAAGUCAGUCAAAAUGUAAUCUUUGAGUGGCUGAAAUAUUUCAUUCAGCUCAAGUAAUGUUUUGUUUUUCAAUACAUUUCUAGUUCUUUGAUCUGAAUAUGCAUAACAAAAGAUUUGAAUUCUUAAUGAAUCAGCAAGACAUCUUCUGGGGAAACGGGAGUUCACCUUCAGUAUACGAUCCCCAGAUCCAUUCAGCUACUGAAGAAAAGGUAGCAGGAUUGCUACUUGCCUCCCCCUGAAUAAAUCAAAGUAGUGGAAACAUGAACAAAUAAUUUCUCCAGAAGUUUUGAGCAUGGCUUUGGAUUCAGAAACCUUUAUGGGUGCCAGAAGUCUCAAUCUGAGACAUCCCAUGCUUCUGGGGAUGCAUAGGCUGUGUUACAUGUCUACAUCAUGUUGCCACAGUUCCACAGUGUUUGAUGUGUCUCUUCUAUGCAAAAUCACCGUUUAAUGUUCACUUUUUGUAAGGCCAGUGGUAAUUAGCCUCAUCUGCACUGCAGUGGGUGGCUAUCAAUUUUGUUAAACAGUUCAGUACUCAUCGUUUCUCAUAGAAUGGAGGACAUGAGGGGAUACAAGCGCCCAGGCAGGCGUCCUGUACUUCCAGAGCAUAGCAGUGGUUGAAGUAGGCAGAUAACUUGCCUACACUAAAAGGGGAAUUUUUUCAUUUAGCAAUUGCAUUCUAAUGUCCCAUGACCCAUAAGAUGUUCUGCUGACUUUUCAACACAUCCCUGCCCUCAUCAGGUAAGCCACAAUAUCUGACGGGAAAUCGCUGCAUCUUUUCGCAAAUGUAUUUUAUUAGUUUAUAAAAAUGCAGUUUAUAAAAACUGAAAAAUGUUCAGUUUUUCAAUAAUCAAAUGAGGAAAAAGGAUAGGGGAAAAUGAUUUCAUUUACUGUGCAUGAUUCUAUCUAUUCUUUUUGUCUACAAACAUCCUUUCUUACAAUGUGAGGUAGCACGUACCAGGCUAAGGAACAUAAGACAGCUAAUUCAAUAAAAAUAUGUGCAGAGGGAGAAACAGAAGGCACAAAUUUAAGACAUCGGUUUUGACAAAGGACAGCAGCAAAAUUAGGCAUUUAAUACAGAUGGACUUGAGAAAACCUAUAUGCAGGUUCAUUAGAUGGCAGCAGAUAAAACACUACAGCUAUGCUACAACCGGUAGGAAACUUCAGGAACAAAAUGUUUUUUAAAAACAACAACACCCGGGAAGGACAGCCUGCUUAUCUCACUUUAUAAAUUGGUUAACUAUGCCACAACACCCGAUUUUGGUUGUGUGCCUAAUUUAACAUCCAAUUGAUUCCAACGGACUCUUGUUCAAGUGUCUGGAUCUGUAUAAAAGCUAUUUCAGUUGACAUGGUCACAAAUACAAUUACUGCAAUGAUUCAAGGAUUUCAUUUAGAAUAAUAAGUAAACAGCUGCAUCUCUACAUCCUGCUCCUUGAAAAAAAAAGUUCUAAUAUGUUUCAAGGUUAAGUUGCCUGUCAGUGAUUAAAAAUAGCUACCACGUCUUCGUUAACAGCCAGAUUUGGUCCCCUCUUGGCAAAUCAAUGGCGCAAAAUUGCCCCUUAGUUUUAGGGACAUCCACCUGUGCUAAAAGGGGUGCUCUGUGAAGUCAGCAUUCUUCAUAGUGACUAUUAUUACAAACCUAUCGUAUGAGGUAUACCUUAUACUAAGAAACCAGCUUUGUUGAGCAACAGCUGAUCUCAGCAGGAAAAACAAAGGCAGACAAUCCUGGCACUGGUGGGUAGAUGCUUCCCUGUGCUGUUAUUCAGAAAUCAAAUUGAUGCCAGGGCAAGUGUUCUAAACUAACAUUCUAGGAUUUCUAUAAGUGAACAAUAUGGAUAUUGCAUAAUUCUGCAUUUUAUAAUCUCAAAACUACAGGAGGCCCCAACAAGAUCCCUAAGUGUCUUGCUUGCUUUCUGAGAUUCUUAAACAUUGUUGUUCCUAGCAACUAGAAACUUUUUAAAAAGAGAAUACUAGUUAAAGAGAGUAUAAU